CAGUCGCCACUGGAAUACGGAGGGUGCAAGCGUUGUUCGGAAUUACUGGGCGUAAAGCGCACGUAGGCGGCUUUGUAAGUUAGAGGUGAAAGCCUGGGGCACAACUCCAGAAUUGCCUUUAAGACUGCAUCGCUUGAACGUCGGAGAGGUGAGUGGAAUUCCGAGUGUAGAGGUGAAAUUCGUAGAUAUUCGGAAGAACACCAGUGGCGAAGGCGGCUCACUGGACGACUGUUGACGCUGAGGUGCGAAAGCGUGGGGAGCAAACAGGAUUAGAUACCCCCGUAGUCCCUGUCUCUUAUAC
rnacentral:rRNA from 1 species